rnacentral:misc_RNA from 1 species
GUAGUACUGGUUUGUUGAGCUCACCGGAAACCCAGUUGUGGUUGAAUCUUGACUAAACAGCGGCGCCUGUGGGGGUCCGCCGGAGAAAUUGUCAUAGGAGUUUGGGUUUGUUGAAUACAUGAUGGGUGUGAUCGAAAUCAAAGGAUACUUGUUAAAGCAAAGAGAAAAAUGGAGGAGAAGGAUUGGUAAUCAAAACAUAGAAGAGAGAGACGCAUUUGCAUUGCUUUUUGGGUCUCCGAAACGUUUAAUGAUUGGAGCUUGAGGAGACUGAACCGGUCAACGCUCUCGUCAACACCACUAGUUCAUAGAAAUGGCC